AGUAACACGUGGAUAACCUACCUAUAAGACUGGGAUAACUUCGGGAAACCGGAGCUAAUACCGGAUAAUAUUUUGAACCGCAUGGUUCAAAAGUGAAAGACGGUCUUGCUGUCACUUAUAGAUGGAUCCGCGCUGCAUUAGCUAGUUGGUAAGGUAACGGCUUACCAAGGCAACGAUGCAUAGCCGACCUGAGAGGGUGAUCGGCCACACUGGAACUGAGACACGGUCCAGACUCCUACGGGAGGCAGCAGGU
rnacentral:rRNA from 1 species